GUUGUGAGGUUAAGCGACUAAGCGUACACGGUGGAUGCCCUGGCAGUCAGAGGCGAUGAAGGACGUGCUAAUCUGCGAUAAGCGUCGGUAAGGUGAUAUGAACCGUUAUAACCGGCGAUUUCCGAAUGGGGAAACCCAGUGUGAUUCGUCACACUAUCAUUAACUGAAUCCAUAGGUUAAUGAGGCGAACCGGGGGAACUGAAACAUCUAAGUACCCCGAGGAAAAGAAAUCAACCGAGAUUCCCCCAGUAGCGGCGAGCGAACGGGGAGCAGCCCAGAGCCUGAAUCAGUGUGUGUGUUAGUGGAAGCGUCUGGAAAGGCGUGCGAUACAGGGUGACAGCCCCGUACACAAAAAUGCACAUACUGUGAGCUCGAUGAGUAGGGCGGGACACGUGGUAUCCUGUCUGAAUAUGGGGGGACCAUCCUCCAAGGCUAAAUACUCCUGACUGACCGAUAGUGAACCAGUACCGUGAGGGAAAGGCGAAAAGAACCCCGGCGAGGGGAGUGAAAAAGAACCUGAAACCGUGUACGUACAAGCAGUGGGAGCACGCUUAGGCGUGUGACUGCGUACCUUUUGUAUAAUGGGUCAGCGACUUAUAUUCUGUAGCAAGGUUAACCGAAUAGGGGAGCCGAAGGGAAACCGAGUCUUAACUGGGCGUUAAGUUGCAGGGUAUAGACCCGAAACCCGGUGAUCUAGCCAUGGGCAGGUUGAAGGUUGGGUAACACUAACUGGAGGACCGAACCGACUAAUGUUGAAAAAUUAGCGGAUGACUUGUGGCUGGGGGUGAAAGGCCAAUCAAACCGGGAGAUAGCUGGUUCUCCCCGAAAGCUAUUUAGGUAGCGCCUCGUGAAUUCAUCUCCGGGGGUAGAGCACUGUUUCGGCAAGGGGGUCAUCCCGACUUACCAACCCGAUGCAAACUGCGAAUACCGGAGAAUGUUAUUACGGGAGACACACGGCGGGUGCUAACGUCCGUCGUGAAGAGGGAAACAACCCAGACCGCCAGCUAAGGUCCCAAAGUCAUGGUUAAGUGGGAAACGAUGUGGGAAGGCCCAGACAGCCAGGAUGUUGGCUUAGAAGCAGCCAUCAUUUAAAGAAAGCGUAAUAGCUCACUGGUCGAGUCGGCCUGCGCGGAAGAUGUAACGGGGCUAAACCAUGCACCGAAGCUGCGGCAGCGACGCUUAUGCGUUGUUGGGUAGGGGAGCGUUCUGUAAGCCUGUGAAGGUGUGCUGUGAGGUAUGCUGGAGGUAUCAGAAGUGCGAAUGCUGACAUAAGUAACGAUAAAGCGGGUGAAAAGCCCGCUCGCCGGAAGACCAAGGGUUCCUGUCCAACGUUAAUCGGGGCAGGGUGAGUCGACCCCUAAGGCGAGGCCGAAAGGCGUAGUCGAUGGGAAACAGGUUAAUAUUCCUGUACUUGGUGUUACUGCGAAGGGGGGACGGAGAAGGCUAUGUUGGCCGGGCGACGGUUGUCCCGGUU
rnacentral:rRNA from 1 species